AAUUAGCUGAUUGGAGAAUGUGGAAUGCAGAGUGAUAAUGCUGCAUAUCUGCUAUCAGGCAGCAGCAAAGGUUUUUGUCUUGGGAAGGCAAGCUUUCCCUGCAAUAUUAUCUCAGCAGCUCCCUAGCUGCUUACCCUGAAAACGAGGGCUCCAAACGGAGGGUGUUGCCCUCUGCUAACGCUGGUCCUGUGCGUGGCUGUGGCAUAUGAGCGGCAGGUCUGAAAAAGCAGGUGUGUGCUGGGACGGGCACUGGACUGGAACGCAGGCGGACGCUCUCGGGUUUACCUGCUUCCUGUUAACAGACUGUGGGCUCCCAGGGCGUAUGUCUGCACGCUGAGGCCGAGGCGGAGAAGGGGCUUCCUGAGCGUCCAGUACACUGACAGAGACACUUGGAUUGGACUUAAUCUUAAACCUCUGGAGUUCAAGACCUUUUAAAAGGGCUAAAUAAACAAUCUCUACAUGUAAAAGGCCACUGACUCCUACUUCCUCUGUAUAGAGCAACUGUUGAACUCAGCUGCCUGUAGGGCGUGAUUCUCAGUCACCAGACUCAGCUUGGAGAUCUUACAAUGAUGGCAAUCAGGAGACACUGAACGGAGAUGCUACAUAUUCCUCUCUUGCAGCAAAAGGUUUUAGAAACGUUCGACCAAACCUACAAGAUAAAAGAUCACCAACUCAGAGCCAGAUAACAGUGAAUGGAAACUCAGGAGGUGCCG
rnacentral:sRNA from 1 species